UUUUUUUUUUUUUUUUUUUUUUUUAUUUUCUAAUGACGCUGCGGCAGGCCUAACACAUGCAAGUCGAGCGGUAGCACAGAGAGCUUGCUCUCGGGUGACGAGCGGCGGACGGGUGAGUAAUGUCUGGGAAACUGCCUGAUGGAGGGGGAUAACUACUGGAAACGGUAGCUAAUACCGCAUAACGUCGCAAGACCAAAGUGGGGGACCUUCGGGCCUCAUGCCAUCAGAUGUGCCCAGAUGGGAUUAGCUAGUAGGUGGGGUAACGGCUCACCUAGGCGACGAUCCCUAGCUGGUCUGAGAGGAUGACCAGCCACACUGGAACUGAGACACGGUCCAGACUCCUACGGGAGGCAGCAGUGGGGAAUAUUGCACAAUGGGCGCAAGCCUGAUGCAGCCAUGCCGCGUGUGUGAAGAAGGCCUUCGGGUUGUAAAGCACUUUCAGCGGGGAGGAAGGCGGUGAGGUUAAUAACCUUGGCGAUUGACGUUACCCGCAGAAGAAGCACCGGCUAACUCCGUGCCAGCAGCCGCGGUAAUACGGAGGGUGCAAGCGUUAAUCGGAAUUACUGGGCGUAAAGCGCACGCAGGCGGUCUGUCAAGUCGGAUGUGAAAUCCCCGGGCUCAACCUGGGAACUGCAUUCGAAACUGGCAGGCUAGAGUCUUGUAGAGGGGGGUAGAAUUCCAGGUGUAGCGGUGAAAUGCGUAGAGAUCUGGAGGAAUACCGGUGGCGAAGGCGGCCCCCUGGACAAAGACUGACGCUCAGGUGCGAAAGCGUGGGGAGCAAACAGGAUUAGAUACCCUGGUAGUCCACGCCGUAAACGAUGUCGAUUUGGAGGUUGUGCCCUUGAGGCGUGGCUUCCGGAGCUAACGCGUAAAUCGACCGCCUGGAGACGCCGACCUUGG
rnacentral:rRNA from 1 species